AUGAAAUCAAGUUCUAAAGAGAAAAGGUUCAUUCGGGUUCAUGGUUUCGGAAACAUCAGUCCAGAAUCAGCUGUCUGUCACUGUGAGCCUGUGCGGAAGUCUCCCAUUGUGGCUGAAGGGGAGGCGCAGCAGAGCCAACUGGGAGAGACCCAGUGGGUGACCGCUGCUGCCAUGAACCCUGAGUAUGACUACCUGUUCAAGCUGCUUUUGUUUGGCGACUCGGGCAUGGGCAAGUCUGCCUGCUCCUGUGGUUUGCUAAUGACACGUACACAGAGAGCUAUAUCAGCACUGUUGGGGUGGACUUCAAAAUCCGAACCAUUGAGCCAGAGGGCAAAACCAUCAAACUUCGUAUUUGGGACACAGCUCAUCAGGAAGAGUUCCGGACCAUCACUUCCAGCUACUACAGGGGGGCUCACGGCGUCAUCGUGGUGUAUGACGUCACUGACUAGAAAUCCUAUGCUAAUUUGAAACAGUGGCUACAGGAGAUAGAUCGCUAUGCCAGUGAGAACGUCAAUAAACUCCUGCCUGGUAGGCAACCAAGAAGGUCAUGGACAACACCACAGCCAAGGAAUUUGCAGACUCUUUGGGUAUCCCCUUCCUGGAGACCAGUGCCAAGAAUGCCACCAAUGUUGAGUAAGCAUUCAUGAUGAUGUCUGUAGAGAUCAAAAAGCAGAUGGAGCCAGGAGCAGCUUCUGGGGGUGAACAGCCCAACCUCAAGAUCGACAGCACCCCUGUGAAUCUAGCUAGUGGUGGCUGUUGCUAGGAGGGGCAUUUCGGGAAGGGACACCUUCUCCAGAUGAAGCCCCUGGAGGGGUCAGGAAGUGCCUUCUUCUCCUAGGGCAUUUGAGUCUGUGGCUUUGGGGUGUCCUGGGCUCCCCAUCGUGCUCUGGCCCAUCUGCCUUCUGCUCUGAGUCCCAGUUCUGUCAG